rnacentral:lncRNA from 1 species
AAAAGAAGAACUCCAGAAGAUCCUAGGCCUAGUGAUAUAUCAUAGUGAUGCACCAAAAGAAACAUUGGUUGCUCCACCAGAGAAGAGUCCUGUUCAAGAAGGGAAAUAUCCUAUCCCUGAAGGUGCCUGGUACACAGGUGGUUCCAGCAAGGGCAACCCAAGCAGGUGAAGAGCGAUAGCAUACCAUCCCUCCACUGUGACAAUCUGGGACUCAUUUUACUGGUACGAUGAUACAACGCUGGGCAGAAGAAGAGAACAUCAAGUGGUGAUUCCACCUUCCAUAUUAUCCAACGGGGGCAGGCCUCAUUGAAUAUUAUAACAGUAUUCUUAAAGCUACCUUGAAGACAGACUCUCAAUCCCUACAGGGGUGGAUAAAGAUUCUAUGAAACCCUGCGCAACCUGAAUGAAAGACCUCAAGAUGGCAGACCUGGUGCCCUGAAAAUGCUACAGACAACAUGGGCCUCCCCAAUUAGGAUCCAAAUUAUGGGCACUGAUCAUCAGGUGUGGUGUAAGAAGAAAUAAUACUUAUGGAGGCAUAUAUUGUCUUCUGGAGGACUGACUGUGUCACCUGGGCUUACAGUGCAAUGGGACUAUAUGUGAAAGCUGCUUAUUCACAAAUUAGCAGGGAAACAUGUUCCCAGGCUUGCUUUACUAGUGGAGAGCAUGCAGACCAGCAGACAAAGAAGUCAGCUGGUCACUUAAGCUUUGCAGAACUGAUGAUCUCACCCUCUCCUCCUACUGUUACAGAGGGAAGGACUGCUAGGAUUCAACUGGUUGGUUUUAUUGCCUACUCUCAUAACCUAUGAGAGAAGUUAACGCCCAUUCUUCCAUUUAAAUUAAUUUUAAAUAGUGCUGCUUGAAAUUACUAGACAAAAGCCAGCUGAUGAUGACAGCACUUGGGAUUUUUUUUCUCCCUAUGGGAAAAAGAAAACAGCACUGGACAAUUACAUCAGAGCUUUUUAGCAAGGCAUAAAUAAAUCAUGUGAAGAUUACUGAUACUGUUGGUUACUCACAAGCAAUACUUUAGUUCUUAUGUUCCUGAAAAGAAAUAGGUGCCUAAAAGUAUGCAUUUCAAUGAUUCAUCCUGGAUGGUGAUUAUCUGCCUUCUCUGUACUGUUUAACGGUAUGGAAUGAAUCAAUCAUAGAACAAGUUAUUGCUUGAUUCAGUUUUAUUUUUAUAUAAAAGUUGUUACUAACAAACACAAUGAACAAGUUUUUUCACUGUUCAUUUAAUAAUGCAGUUUAAAUUUGCGUGGCAAGCAAAAAAUACUGGAAAAAAAACCUGCUUCUCACUGUUGUGGAGGACAACAUUAUUUUGAUGAUUGGACUGAUUAUUUGUGGAACAGAGACAUAGACACUGAAAAAGUCUACAGGCACAAAAUACCUGUAAGUAAUUUGUGAGAGAAUGAAAGUGGAGAGAAAUAUCAUUUGAAUAAACUAUUUCACAACUC